UGAACGCUGGCGGCGUGCUUAACACAUGCAAGUCGAACGAGAACGGUCCUUCGGGAUGUCAGCUAAGUGGCGGACGGGUGAGUAAUGUAUAGUUAAUCUGCCCUUUAGAGGGGGAUAACAGUUGGAAACGACUGCUAAUACCCCAUACUCCUUUUAUAUUAAUUGUAAUUGGGAAACGUUUUUUCGCUAAAGGAUGAGACUAUAUGGUAUCAGGUAGUUGGUGGGGUAAGAGCCCACCAAGCCAAUGACGCCUAGCUGGUCUGAGAGGAUGAUCAGCCACACUGGAACUGAGACACGGUCCAGACUCCUACGGGAGGCAGCAGUGGGGAAUAUUGCACAAUGGAGGAAACUCUGAUGCAGCAACGCCGCGUGGAGGAUGACGCAUUUCGGUGUGUAAACUCCUUUUAUAUGGGAAGAUAAUGACGGUACCAUAUGAAUAAGCACCGGCUAACUCC
rnacentral:rRNA from 1 species